AUAUCUAAUAAUUAUUUUCUAGGAACUGGCUUCUCUGCGUGAACAGCGGGGACAGAUGGAACAACCCUUUAACGGAGGAGGAGGUGGAGGAGGAGAUAACUAUGGAAGAAAUUCAGGAUUUAACAGUCGGGACAAUCGGGGUAAUGGAGGACCAAUGGGAGGACGAGGAGGUGGAGGAAUGGGAAAUCUUGGUAUGUUAGACAUGUUUGGUGAAAUGAUGGGAGGAGGCAUGGGUGGAGGUAUGGGCGGAGGAAUGGGCGGAGGAAUGGGCGGAGGAAUGGGCGGAGGAAUGGGCGGAGGAAUGGGCGGAGGAAUGGGCGGAGGAAUGGGUGGAGGUAUGGGAGGAGGAAUGGGGGGAGGAAUGGGAGGAGGAAUGGGCGGAGGAAUGGGAGGAGCCAUGGGCGGAGGAAUUGGAGGAGGCAUGGGCGGAGCUAUGGGAGGCAGAUACGGAAGUAUUGGCGGAGGAUACAGAUCAAGUAGUGCCGGAUCCGGCAGACAAGAUGAUUUUAGUGCGCCGCAAUCCGCCCCUGGCGGUAAUGUUGAAAAAUUAAUUAUGGAAAAGAUGAACUCAAUCUACGAAAACAUGGCGGCGAUCACCAGCAUGGCGAGUAUGGCUGGGAUUGGCGCACGUGGCAUGCCUGGUAUUGGCUCAGGAGGAGGACCAGUUCGUUCUAACGGUGGUUACUCCGGCGGGGCUAGGGAGUCUACUGUUCCGUAUGCUCGGACAGCCGAUACAAGCAAGAAGCACUACGGCUGGUAGAAUAGCAAUCAAUCAAUCUAUAAAAAUCCUACAGUUUAAUAUAGAUAAAUAGCGGCGAGUUUGGCGUGUAUAUGUUUGUACCUGCAAAACUAAUAAAAACUUCGCGUUAGCUAUGGAGCGUGGUGCCAUUCUUAACCAGCGUCUUAAACAAAACAAACACUUUUCAAGAUAAUGGAGAGAAGG
rnacentral:misc_RNA from 1 species